rnacentral:sRNA from 1 species
CAGCGACAAUAAUUCGAGAAAACACGUC